AUUACUUCCUCAUUUUCUCUUCUAAAAAUCUCCAAAACAAUUAAUGCCUCUUUCCUCAUUAUUGACAUUUGUUUCAUUUCUUGGAAUCCGUCUCUUCCUUCUCCUUCUUUCGAUUUCUUUGCACAGAAGAAAAAAUUCGGAAGUCAUAAUUAAAUUUUGACCUUGCUUAUCAUUUAAUUUCUCCUAUUAAAUAUGUAAUUAAUUUUACCUUCCAAAAGAAAAGGUGUAACGGCUAAAAUAAUGGUGGAAUUACCGUACACAUUACACAUAAUUUUUAAAUUCCAGUUAAUGAAACGUUUGCUCUUCAUAUCUGUAGCAAUUCUUUAGUAAACAGCAGUUCUCUUUCUCUUCACAUUUGUGUACAUCUUAUCUUUCAUCCAUUUUCUUCUUCAUAAUUAUUUUGUGUAUUUUGUUAAUCUAUCAUGUAUUUUGUGAAUCUAUCUUUCAUCCUCUUGUGCGCUUCAUUUUCUGAAAUUAUCAUAACAGGAUUCACUAACACUACUGAUUUUAUUCUUUGUACGUAGGUUUUAAAUGCAUGGGUCCAAAGCUCAAAUAUUGCCAGCUUGGAAGGUAACUUGGUGAAAAAUGGUGGAUUUGAAGUUGGCCCUCAUGUAUUCAAGAACUUCUCGAGAGAGGUGCUCGUCCUGCCUUUGAAACAAGACAAGUACUCACCAAUCCCUGGAUGGAUGGUUCAGUUCAUGAAACCAGCGAAAUACAUCGACUCGAAGCAUUUCUUAGUGCCUUGGGGAAAUGCAGCAGUUGAGUUAAUAGGAGGAAGGGAAACAGGCAUUGCACAGAUCGUAAGGACAGUCCCCACGCAAUUCUACAACCUGACUUUCACCAUUGGCGAUGCAAACAAUGACUGCCACGGAUCAAUGACAGUUCAAGCAUUCGCUGGCAAGGCGAGUACAGAAGUUUCCUUUGUAUCACAAGGAAAUGGGUGGUUCAAGACUGCAAGCCUCGAGUUCCAAGCAGAUAAAACUAGGACAACAGUAGCUUUCUAUAAUCCAUUCAAUCACACAAAGAUAUAUGGCUUUGGUCACGUGUGCGGACCUGUCAUCGAUGAUGUCAGUCUCGUUCAUGUCCGAAAAUAAGCAGAAGGAAUUGACCGUACUCAGAGAAGGUCAAUUUGAAGACAAGUUUUAAUAGGAACUCUUUUUUCUUUCUUUUUUUCAAGCAGGUGAACACGUGUGAACAAGGGUAGUGAUAUCUAUCAUUGUUUUUAUGUCUUUUUUAAGUUUUUCAGUCUGAACAAGAAUGAUAUACCCAAUAAAAGUAGUAAAAUCCCUUUCUUGUUUC